rnacentral:rRNA from 1 species
GAGGCUUCUGAUUGCUAUUGCACCACAUGUGUUUUUCUUUGAAACAAACUUGCUUUGGCGGUGGGCCCAGCCUGCCGCCAGAGGUCUAAACUUACAACCAAUUUUUUAUCAACUUGUCACACCAGAUUAUUACUAAUAGUCAAAACUUUCAACAACGGAUCUCUUGGUUCUCGCAUCGAUGAAGAACGCAGCGAAAUGCGAUACGUAAUAUGAAUUGCAGAUAUUCGUGAAUCAUCGAAUCUUUGAACGCACAUUGCGCCCUCUGGUAUUCCGGAGGGCAUGCCUGUUUGAGCGUCGUUUCUCCCUCAAACCGCUGGGUUUGGUGUUGAGCAAUACGACUUGGGUUUGCUUGAAAGACGGUAGUGGUAAGGCGGGAUCGCUUUGACAAUGGCUUAGGUCUAACCAAAAACAUUGCUUGCGGCGGCAACGUCUACCACGUAUAUCUUCAAACUUUGACCUCAAAUCAGGUAGGACUACCCGCUGAACUUAAGCAUAUCAAUAAGCGGAGGAA